rnacentral:lncRNA from 1 species
AUGGAGGUUUUGCAAUUUGAGCGGAGCCGUGCGGGAGCUCUUUGGCAGAAGAGGCGGCCUCCCGAGGGAGCUGAACAACAGCUGCACCAGGAGAGAACCCUGCACAGGAGACAAGAACUUCUGAAAUGCCAUCAGGGACUACCAGAAAGCAGCACAACAAACACCCCAAAACACAGGAAGGAGCUGCAGAAAGCCAGUGUGAGGAUCAAAAGAAUAACAUCCCAGGUGAUUGUUAAGCUAGUAGGGAGCAUUCCUGACAUCCUUCAAAUCUUCAGCAAUGAGCAUGGAAGAAGAGGAAAAGACAGUGACAAGACAUUACUUCCUACAUUAACUCACGAUAAGAGAUGAAGCCACUUGCAGCAGCAGAGCCGGUGGGGCAGACGACGCCUGUCCUGGUGGAGCUCGGCCACCCGUGUGCCUUACAGCUGCUGAGGAGGUGAGCCAUCCAUGCAGCAUGACAAGCCUACCUCAGUGUCCCCUGGCCAGCCCCACAGCUGCUGGAAAGCUGGGUAACUGUUGAUCUAACCCACUUUUCCCUCGCUGAGGAGCUGGCCCUGCCCUUCGCUGUCCCUCAGCUGCC